UACGAAGGGGGCUAGCGUUGCUCGGAAUUACUGGGCGUAAAGGGCGCGUAGGCGGAUAGUUUAGUCAGAGGUAAAAGCCCAGGGCUCAACCUUGGAACUGCCUUUGAUACUGGCUAUCUCGAGUACGGGAGAGGUGUGUGGAACUCCGAGUGUAGAGGUGAAAUUCGUAGAUAUUCGGAAGAACACCAGUGGCGAAGGCGACACACUGGCCCGUUACUGACGCUGAGGCGCGAAAGCGUGGGGAGCAAACAGG
rnacentral:rRNA from 1 species